rnacentral:rRNA from 1 species
UGAGCUGGGGGUGGCCGCAGAGACCAGCGAGAAGCGACUGUUUACUAAAAACACAGGUCCGUGCGAAGCCGUAAGGCGAUGUAUACGGACUGACGCCUGCCCGGUGCUGGAACGUUAAGGGGACCGGUUAGUCACAUUUCGGUGUGGCGAAGCUGAGAACUUAAGCGCCAGUAAACGGCGGUGGUAACUAUAACCAUCCUAAGGUAGCGAAAUUCCUUGUCGGGUAAGUUCCGACCUGCACGAAUGGCGUAACGACUUCUCGACUGUCUCAACCAUAGGCCCGGUGAAAUUGCACUACGAGUAAAGAUGCUCGUUUCGCGCAGCAGGACGGAAAGACCCCGGGACCUUUACUACAGUUUGAUAUUGGUGUUCGGUUCGGCUUGUGUAGGAUAGCUGGGAGACUUUGAAGCGGCCACGCCAGUGGUUGUGGAGUCGUCGUUGAAAUACCAGUCUGGUCGUGCUGGAUGUCUAACCUGGGUCCGUGAUCCGGAUCAGGGACAGUGUCUGAUGGGUAGUUUAACUGGGGCGGUUGCCUCCUAAAGAGUAACGGAGGCGCCCAAAGGUUCCCUCAGCCUGGUUGGCAAUCAGGUGUUGAGUGUAAGUGCACAAGGGAGCUUGACUGUGAGACCGACGGGUCGAGCAGGGACGAAAGUCGGGACUAGUGAUCCGGCGGUGGCUUGUGGAAGCGCCGUCGCUCAACGGAUAAAAGGUACCCCGGGGAUAACAGGCUGAUCUUCCCCAAGAGUCCAUAUCGACGGGAUGGUUUGGCACCUCGAUGUCGGCUCGUCGCAUCCUGGGGCUGGAGUCGGUCCCAAGGGUUGGGCUGUUCGCCCAUUAAAGCGGUACGCGAGCUGGGUUUAGAACGUCGUGAGACAGUUCGGUCCCUAUCCGCUGCGCGCGCAGGAAUAUUGAGAAGGGCUGUCCCUAGUACGAGAGGACCGGGACGGACGAACCUCUGGUGUGCCAGUUGUUCUGCCAAGGGCAUGGCUGGUUGGCUACGUUCGGGAGGGAUAACCGCUGAAAGCAUCUAAGCGGGAAGCCUGCUUCGAGAUGAGUAUUCCCACCCACUUGAUGGGGUAAGGCUCCCAGUAGACGACUGGGUUGAUAGGCCAGAUAUGGAAGCCUGGUAACGGGUGGAGUUGACUGGUACUAAUAGGCCGAGGGCUUGUCCUCAGUUG